UGCUUCAACUAACUCAUUUGCUUUAUUAGAUAAUUCCCCUAGGUGGACGUUUGAUCCGGGAGGGCAAGCAUAGUUGAAGAAGCAAGAGGCUGCUAUCCGAGAUCAAAUCUCUAGAUCUGAGGAUAGAUCUUCUCAAGGAGAAGGAGAUGAUGGACACCAUCCAGCCACAUCCAUUCCCCUAGCCAUGAAGAAGAAUAAGCAAUGGAUUUGAGGACAAAUCCUUUUCAAGAGGGAGGGGAUGAUGGAAGAGGCCCAAGCACAAGCCCACAUGCAAGCCCACCAAAGGGUAGAUUUGGGCCAACCAUAGAGUUAUGGCCAAGAGGAUCCAAGAAGACGUUCUUUUACAUGUUCAAAUGCCAUAAACUCUAGUGUAGAGUAGACUUUAAUUUCUUGUCAAAAUUAGCAUAGGAACUUUAUUUGUAAUUUUCUUAGAAUUAAUUUUGGCACCUAAAACACCAACCUCGGUAAACUAGAAAGCCCAUGGAGGGGGUGAACAUAAAAACUAGACACACCCCUCCCCAUGUGCUCAUUUGUGCACCCAUGUGCCAUGUGCACCCAUGUGCUUCAUAUUUACAUUUCAUUUGGCUAGCAUUAGGGUUGCAUUAUGGUCCUCCUUAGCCUAUAAAAGGAGGAGCCUACACCUUGUAUUUUCAAGUUUAAUUGAGUAAGGUUAUGCUGCCAUUUUUGUGCACAAGCUUUACUUCUCCUAGAAAUCUAGGCUCUAAACU
rnacentral:lncRNA from 1 species